CCUACGGGAGGCUGCAGUGGGGCAUAUUGGACAAUGGGCGAAAGCCUGAUCCAGCCAUGCCGCGUGUGUGAAGAAGGCCUUCGGGUUGUAAAGCACUUUCAGUGGGGAAGAAAGCCUUGGGGCUAAUACCCUCGAGGAAGGACAUCACCCACAGAAGAAGCACCGGCUAACUCCGUGCCAGCAGCCGCGGUAAUACGGAGGGUGCGAGCGUUAAUCGGAAUUACUGGGCGUAAAGCGCGCGUAGGCGGUCUGAUAAGCCGGUUGUGAAAGCCCCGGGCUCAACCUGGGAACGGCAUCCGGAACUGUCAGGCUAGAGUGCAGGAGAGGAAGGUAGAAUUCCCGGUGUAGCGGUGAAAUGCGUAGAGAUCGGGAGGAAUACCAGUGGCGAAGGCGGCCUUCUGGACUGACACUGACGCUGAGGUGCGAAAGCGUGGGUAGCAAACAGGAUUAGAUACCCUAGUAGUC
rnacentral:rRNA from 1 species